rnacentral:rRNA from 1 species
UCCGUAGGGUGAACCUGCGGAGGGAUCAUUACACAAAUAUGAAGGCGGGCUGGAAUCUCUCGGGGUUACAGCCUUGCUGAAUUAUUCACCCUUGUCUUUUGCGUACUUCUUGUUUCCUUGGUGGGUUCGCCCACCACUAGGACAAACAUAAACCUUUUGUAAUUGCAAUCAGCGUCAGUAACAAAUUAAUAAUUACAACUUUCAACAACGGAUCUCUUGGUUCUGGCAUCGAUGAAGAACGCAGCGAAAUGCGAUAAGUAGUGUGAAUUGCAGAAUUCAGUGAAUCAUCGAAUCUUUGAACGCACAUUGCGCCCUUUGGUAUUCCAAAGGGCAUGCCUGUUCGAGCGUCAUUUGUACCCUCAAGCUUUGCUUGGUGUUGGGCGUCUUGUCUCUAGCUUUGCUGGAGACUCGCCUUAAAGUAAUUGGCAGCCGGCCUACUGGUUUCGGAGCGCAGCACAAGUCGCACUCUCUAUCAGCAAAGGUCUAGCAUCCAUUAAGCCUUUUUUCAACUUUUGACCUCGGAUCAGGUAGGGAUACCCGCUGAACUUAAGCAUAUCAAUAAGCGGAGGAA